rnacentral:rRNA from 1 species
GACGAACGCUGGCGGCGUGCUUAACACAUGCAAGUCGAACGGAAAGGCCCUGCUUUUGUGGGGUGCUCGAGUGGCGAACGGGUGAGUAACACGUGAGUAACCUGCCCUUGACUUUGGGAUAACUUCAGGAAACUGGGGCUAAUACCGGAUAGGAGCUCCUGCUGCAUGGUGGGGGUUGGAAAGUUUCGGCGGUUGGGGAUGGACUCGCGGCUUAUCAGCUUGUUGGUGGGGUAGUGGCUUACCAAGGCUUUGACGGGUAGCCGGCCUGAGAGGGUGACCGGCGACAACAGUGCUGCGGAGCGGCGGCGAAGCCUACGGGGGGCAGCAGUGGUGAAGAUUGUAGCAUAGUGGGAAGAAGGAUGCAGCAGCGCCGCGGGCGGGAGGAUGGCCGUCUGGGUGUAGUACGCUGCCUCCGGCUAUGACGAGUCGUUGGCGGUAGUGGGUAAAAAAGCACCAGCUAAUUACGUG